ensembl:lncRNA
AUGGAAUUAAACCGUAGCCCGAACAUCAGGAGACGCAUGAUGGACGACAGAAGAGAACCAGCACAGAAGCAGAUGGAGUCGCCACACAGCGUCAUACACACUUACUAUCAGGGGGACAUUAACGCUGUGGUGGACGAACACUUUUUCCGCGCUCUCAAUAAAUCCAACAUGCCCAAAGACCUCAGCACCAAGAGCCGAGAGAACCGCAGAACGUCCAAACCCGAUUUUCACGCUCCGUCCUCCUGGUCUCCAUCGUGGUCCAAAAGUGGAUUAUCUCCAGGUUCCCCCAGCCUGAGCCAGAGUUCCUCUGCUGAAGAACCGCUCCAUCCUCAGGGGGUCAUCAUGGGUCCACUGUCUGCUGAGCCGUGGGUUUACCAAGGCAGGCAGGGGUCUGGUUAUAACCUCCCCCAGCUGUACCGGCAGCCUGCAGCUGCACCUGCAGGUGGCAGCUCCUCAUAUCUCCAAUUGCUGCACAUGGAGCGGUCAGCAGGGGGCAUACUGACCCCACCCUCCACCAAAACAGACAUGCAGCUGGAGUGGGCAGCUGGUAACAGCCACAGAGAUGCACACCGUGGCAGGACUCACCUGGACACAGGUUUACAGAUGCCAGAGAAAAGUAAGGACGUGUACUGGUACUGAAAACGCAGAACCGUCCACUCUACAGGGCCAGCUGCUUUAAGAGGGAAAGGUCACGACCCCUCAAAGACUCUUACAGAAGCACUGCUGCACUAAUGAAACACACGGCGCUGCAGACCAGGAGAUCCAGGACAUCCAGGAGAACAUUGUUAUUAUUAUUAUUAUUAUUACUACAUGCCACAGAUAUUUCUAUGCAGGUGUCACUUCACUGGAAGAAGACACCUGUCCUGUCUCUUCUGUUCUUCACCUCCUCUCAACCCCGUAUUAAUCACUCCUCAUGCAGUAACUCACCACAUUAAACUGAAACUUAUUUAUAUUUUACUAUUUUUCUUUUUCAAAAAGUGCAAAAAUGAAGAAACAGCAGCUCAGAGUCCUCCACUGGGGCCACGCCCCCUUUAUUGCCUUGUUGUGAUGUCAUUACUCAGACCUUUCAGGUGUUUUCACGAGCCUGUGGGCUGAAGAGUUUCGCUGUCCACUCAGUGGAACUGAGUCCGAGGAAGAUGCUCUAGAUCAGAAUCUUCAAAUAUUCAAAUAAUAAAACCGAGAAUUUGUUAUAUGCAAAUGAGCUGCUGUCUAACGUUAUACACACAUUGGAAAAGCGUGAGCUGUCUGAACAAUGUCCUCCAGCAGAAGGCAGUGUAGAGCCUGCAUCUUCAGCGUUGCCAGAUUGGGUGGUUUUCUCCUCCAAAUUAGGUUCAUUUUUGGUUUGAUUUGGUGCAGAAAAAAGUGCUUUGGAGGGAAAAGGAAUGAUGGGUAAAAAGUAUUUAUAAUAAUAAUCUGAAUUUCUUCAUAAUACAGCUGAAAUGUGAAUGAGCUAAACUUCUCUACAUCCACUUUGUCAAUCAAACGUUUGAUAACUCAUUUUUAUUUAAUACACUUAUAAUUCUUGUCUUUGAUACAACAUUGCAGUAAAACUCAUGUUAAAAAUCUUAAGACAGAAAAUGAUCCAAUCAGGAUUGUUCUCUUUGGGGUAUCUGGGCAGAUACAGCUGACGUGCUCUCCUAUUGGUUAGGCCUUCAGCAGCUGGACUGAAGGCCUUACAUGCUAGAUCAACAGAUGAACCAACCAAUCACACUCUGAUUUACAGUGGGUGGGGCCAAAAUGUCAUUCUAGUCCUUCUGUAGGUUCUAGAUAAGUGACUGUGAAUAAGAGUUGUAGUCUAAGCAGGUUUGGGCAGAGAACGUGUAGAGGAGAAUUCCUGCUCUGUAACGUCUUCCUGUUCUCAGACACUAGGGGGCGCUCCAAAAAUGAAUGGGUUGAGUAAUGAAAUCAUAGUUUAUAAAGGCUGAAACAUUUUAAUGUAAAAGAAUUCCUUCAUUUCCUGAACAGCAUAAAACAUUUUAACACCGCUGUUUUAUUUAAGAGCUUUUAAACUCAUGUACUUUCAUGACGUCAGUGAGUGCAAACAGCCAAUGAGGUGCUCUGCUCGCCCAUCAAUCAUCAUGCUCUAGCAGUAAAGCCCCGCCCCCUGCUGCCCAAACCCGUUACUGUAGAAAUAAAGGAAACACACAGGUGAAUUUUCUCUGCUGUUUUAGUGAAACUCCGCCUCCUGCUGUCUGACAUUAAAGGAAAGUUCUGGGUGAUUAGAAAUUCGUAUUUAGCCAUUGGGCUCCAUUCACUCCCAUUCAUUGAGGACUCACUCGCUGGCACCCUCUGCUGUUCAGCAGUCCUGUUUUUGAUAUAACAGGGGAAAUAGGAAGUGGCCAGGCUGCUCACAGGCUGCUCAGGGUCCAGGUAGUUGUUAGGAAUGUUAAACAGCAGCUCUGUGUCAGAACUCUACACUGAGUCUCUGUAUCACUGACACACAAGCUCAGAUAUCUGAUAACGUCUGAUCCAAACCUCAGAUAAAACACACAGAAACACACAGAACAUCUUCACAAGCUAAUCUAGAACAGCCCAAACACAUCCACUCUGUCCCACACCGAGACUCAUUUAAUCAUGCCUGCUGAUUGAUUAUUGAUGUUUUGGCUCCUCCUAAACGCUCCUCCAUCUGCUGCUAUUUUCCUGCCCUCAAACCAGAUAAACACAAACAUGACCCAGUGACACUCGAUGACUUUUAUACCGCAUCCAGGAGAAUCUCACGUUAUUAUACACAGAGUAACGUCAUAAAACAAUCAGAAAGAAAAAUGACAUCACAAACUGUAACGAGAAACAACCCCCUGCCCUGACCACAGCCUCAGAUUCACUAUAACCACUGGGCUGUCCGGGGACCCUGCCUCACAUCAUGUCUCCAUCUCAUUCCCAUGUCUUAGUAAGUUGUGGCCACACAUAAUAUUUAUUAUGUCUUAGAAAAGCGCAAAGCUCUUUAAUUAUUUAAUCCACAAACUUGCCUGCAUAUUAAAUCCUCUGUCUAUCAGGCUCUGUGUCUCUGUGAUGAUCCAGCUCAGAAUUCCAGUUCAAAUCUUUCAUGAAGCCGUAGAGUCGCCCUUUCAAUUCCAUCUCACCACGCGAUCCGACGAGACUCACAUCCGGAGUUAUAAGCCUAUGAAGAGGGGUUGAUAUAAAUGUCAUCUGCCUCUCACCGUGUGGAGCUGCUGGAUUCGUGUGUCCGUCUACAUUCUGUGUGAAACUGACCGACGGACACUGCUGAAGUUGCUGCAGAGGUUGUAAAGGUUCUGUACAUUUUUGGUUCAUCAGGGUAGAAACAGGGUAAAUGUUCCUUCAAAACUCCAACAGUGGUUUAAGGUCUGAUUGUGAACCUUAAAUCAGUUUUUCCAGGUGAAAAGUCUUUUCAUAACCGAAUGUUUUAAAACAGACAGACAGGUCAGUACCUCUAUUUCUGAGAGUGUAGGUCAGCGGUCUGCCACAUUUUACUUUCAGCCUGUUGAUUGUGUGGGUGGAGCUUCGGUUGUGUAAUAAAGUGCUGAUCUGCUA